rnacentral:rRNA from 1 species
GAUGAACGCUGGCGGCGUGCCUAAUACAUGCAAGUCGAGCGAACAGACGAGGAGCUUGCUCCUCUGACGUUAGCGGCGGACGGGUGUGUAACACGUGGAUAACCUACCUAUAAGACUGGGAUAACUUCGGGAAACCGGAGCUAAUACCGGAUAAUAUAUUGAACCGCAUGGUUCAAUAGUGAAAGACGGUUUUGCUGUCACUUAUAGAUGGAUCCGCGCCGCAUUAGCUAGUUGGUAAGGUAACGGCUUACCAAGGCGACGAUGCGUAGCCGACCUGAGAGGGUGAUCGGCCACACUGGAACUGAGACACGGUCCAGACUCCUACGGGAGGCAGCAGUAGGGAAUCUUCCGCAAUGGGCGAAAGCCUGACGGAGCAACGCCGCGUGAGUGAUGAAGGUCUUCGGAUCGUAAAACUCCGUUAUUAGGGAAGAACAAAUGUGUAAGUAACUAUGCACGUCUUGACGGUACCUAAUCAGAAAGCCACGGCUAACUACGUG